rnacentral:rRNA from 1 species
UACGUAGGGUGCAAGCGUUGUCCGGAAUUAUUGGGCGUAAAGAGCUCGUAGGCGGUCUGUCGCGUCGGCUGUGAAAACUCGGGGCUCAACCCCGAGCCUGCAGUCGAUACGGGCAGACUAGAGUGCUGUAGGGGAGACUGGAAUUCCUGGUGUAGCGGUGAAAUGCGCAGAUAUCAGGAGGAACACCGGUGGCGAAGGCGGGUCUCUGGGCCGAUACUGACUCUGAGACGCGAAAGCCAAGGGAGCGAACGGG